rnacentral:rRNA from 1 species
CCUACGGGCGGCAGCAGUAGGGAAUCUUUCACAAUGGGCGAAAGCCUGAUGGAGCAACGCCGCGUGCAGGAUGAAGGCCCUCGGGUUGUUAACUGCUUUUAUAAGCGAGCAAUAUGAUGGUAACCUAUGAAUAAGGCUCGGCGAACUACGUGCCAGCAGCCGCGGUCAUACGUAGGAUCCGAGCAUUAUCCGGAGUGACUGGGUGUAAAGAGUUGCGUAGGGGGCAUGAUAAGUAGCUAGUGAAAUCUGGUGGCUCAACCAUUCAGGCUAUUAGCAAAACUGUUGAGCUCGAGAGCGGUAGAGGUAACUGGAAUUUCUAGUGUAGGAGUGAAAUCCGUAGAUAUUAGAAGGAACACCAGUGGCGUAGGCAGGUUGCUGGGACGGUUCUGACGCUAAGGCACGAAAGCGUAGGGAGCAAACGGGAUUAGAUACCCGGGUAGUC